rnacentral:rRNA from 1 species
CCUACGGGGCGCAGCAGUGAGGAAGAUUGGUCAAUGGGAGCGAGCCUGAACCAGCCAAGUAGCGUGAAGGAUGACUGCCCUACGGGUUGUAAACUUCUUUUAUCAAGGAAUAAAGUGAGGCACGUGUGCCUUUUUGUAUGUACUUUAUGAAUAAGGAUCGGCUAACUCCGUGCCAGCAGCCGCGGUAAUACGGAGGAUCCGAGCGUUAUCCGGAUUUAUUGGGUUUAAAGGGAGCGUAGAUGGGUUGUUAAGUCAGUUGUGAAAGGUUGGGGCUCAACCGUAAAAUUGCAAUUGAUACUGGCAGUCUUGAGUACAGUUGAGGUAGGCGGAAUUCGUGGUGUAGCGGUGAAAUGCUUAGAUAUCACGAAGAACUCCGAUUGCGAAGGCAGCUUACUAAACUGCCACUGACAUUGAUGCUCGAAAGUGUGGGUAUCGAACAGGAUUAGAUACCCCAGUAGUC